rnacentral:rRNA from 1 species
AAAGUGUGGGUAGCAAACAGGAUUAGAUACCCUGGUAGUCCACACCGUAAACGUUGGGCACUAGGUGUGGGGAGGAAUCAACCCUUUCCGUGCCGUAGCUAACGCAUUAAGUGCCCCGCCUGGGGAGUACGGCCGCAAGGCUAAAACUCAAAGGAAUUGGCGGGGGCCCGCACAAGCGGCGGAGCAUGUUGCUUAAUUCGAGGCAACGCGAAGAACCUUACCUAGGUUGAACUACGCAGGAAUAGCCACAGAGAUGUGGUGUCCUUCGGGGCCUGCGAUAGGUGGUGCAUGGCUGUCAUCAGCUCGUGUCGUGAGAUGUUGGGUUAAGUCCCGCAACGAGCGCAACCCUUAUCCUAUGUUGCCAGCGCGUAAUGGCGGGGACUCGUGGGAGACUGCCGGGGUCAACUCGGAGGAAGGUGGGGACGACGUCAAGUCAUCAUGCCCCUUAUGUCUAGGGCUGCAAACAUGCUACAGUGGCUGGUACAAAGGGCUGCGAAACCGCGAGGUCGAGCGAAUCCCAAAAAGCCAGUCUCAGUUCGGAUUGAAGUCUGCAACUCGACUUCAUGAAGCUGGAGUCGCUAGUAAUCCCGGAUCAGCAACGCCGGGGUGAAUACGUUCCCGGGCCUUGUACACACCGCCCGUCACACCACGAAAGUUGGCAACACCCGAAGUCAGUGGCCGAACCCCUCGGGGACGGAGCCGCCGAAGGUGGUUUUAUCGAUUGGA